CUUUGCUCUGUGUGUGCAUGAGAGGCCCGGGACAAGAGCUGCCGCCGUGGGAGAAAGCCAGGCGGACCGGAACAAGCUGCUGUAGCCUGAGGUACGUGUCCCAGGCCUCGGAGGGGUAGAGCCGAAUGACGACCGAGCUGCCUUCCACCGAAAACCAGAUCUGGAGAGCCAAACGGAGCCAGAUGUGAAGAGCGGGCGAAGGGAGCAGAAGUCUUGGAAGGGGUCGCUGGAGGGGACUUUCCCAAGGAGCUGCUACCUCCCUGCUGCUGAGAUGCAGCCACCUCUGCAGGGAUGGAGCGUGGCAGCUGUUUAUACAGGGUUCGCCCAGCCAGCACGGAGUUCCUCUCGAGUGGGGAGAGAGUGUGGUCUAAUGCAGCACAAUCAUCUCCUCUUCCGUGAUGUAGACAGUCCAGAGGAUCGUGCAAGAAACUGAAAGUGGAGAGAGAGAAAGAGAGAGGCAGAAAAUCUUUCCAAACGGCUUUUUCUAAACAUCUCUGUGGCGAUGAUUUUGAAUAAGCAACAGUCUCCUCGUAUAACAUGUCACUGCUUCAUUGUACCAGUGUUCCAGGUGAGGAGCCAGUGUUCCAGAACUG